rnacentral:rRNA from 1 species
GACGAACCGUGCGAACGUUGUUCGGAAUCACUGGGCUUAAAGGGCGCGUAGGCGGGCUGCCAAGUCUGUGGUGAAAUCCUCCAGCUUAACUGGGGAACUGCCUUUGAUACUGGGUGCCUCGAGUAAGGUAGGGGCAUGCGGAACUGAUGGUGGAGCGGUGAAAUGUGUUGAUAUCAUCAGGAACUCCGGUGGCGAAGGCGGCAUGCUGGACCUUCACUGACGCUGAGGCGCGAAAGCUAGGGGAGCGAACGGG